rnacentral:rRNA from 1 species
AGAGUUUGAUCAUGGCUCAGGAUAAACGCUGGCGGCGUGCUUUAUGCAUGCAAGUCGAACGGUCCUUCUUUGGAAGGAUAGUGGCGAACGGGUGAGUAACACGUAAGCAACCUGCCCCUAAGUGGAGAAUAACCUCGGGAAACCGGGGCUAAUACUGCAUAUGGUCCUUCACUGCAAGGUGAAGGACUAAAGCCUUCGGGUGCUUGGGGAGGGGCUUGCGGCCGAUUAGCUAGUUGGUGGGGUAACGGCUUACCAAGGCGACGAUCGGUAGCUGGUCUGAGAGGAUGGUCAGCCACACUGGGACUGAGAUACGGCCCAGACUCCUACGGGAGGCAGC